rnacentral:rRNA from 1 species
GAGAACGCUGGCGGCGUGCCUAACACAUGCAAGUCGAGCGGAGAUAUAUGGAAGGUUUACCGGAAAUAUAUCUUAGCGGCGGACGGGUGAGUAACGCGUGGGCAACCUGCCUCAUACAGGGGGAUAACACAGGGAAACUUGUGCUAAUACCGCAUGAAAUCAUAGUAUGGCAUCAUACAAUGAUCAAAGGAGCAAUCCGGUAUGAGAUGGGCCCGCGUCCGAUUAGCUAGUUGGUGAGGUAACGGCUCACCAAGGCGACGAUCGGUAGCCGAACUGAGAGGUUGAUCGGCCACAUUGGGACUGAGACACGGCCCAGACUCCUACGGGAGGCAGCAGUGGGGAAUAUUGCGCAAUGGGGGAAACCCUGACGCAGCAACGCCGCGUGAAGGAAGAAGGCCUUCGGGUUGUAAACUUCUUUGAUAGGGGACGAUAAUGACGGUACCCUAAAAACAAGCCACGGCUAACUACGUG